ACAAGAUGCUGGAGCAGCAGGAGAAGAUCCGGGAGCAGGAGGAGCACGUGGAAGCUGCCAUCCAGAACCAGCACCUACAGGCGCAGUUCAGCCUCAUGGCUCUCCCUCAGGAAGGGCUCCUCUGACCACCCCGCAUAGGAGAUGGACGGGACAGGGAGGAGGAGGAGGUGCUUCGGCCCAUGAGCAGCAUCCUGGAAGACCUGGAGAGCCGAGAGGCCGUGGUGGGGUGGGCACCAGCGUGGCAGCUGAGCACCCUUCCCUCCAGGUGGAGCUGGUGUUGCAUCUUGCCAGCCACCAAGACCAGGGACAUGAGGGAUUGCUGUCAGCUGCCCAGAACCCUAAUGAUGAGAAACCCUGUCCCUACUAAAAAUACAAAAUUAGCCAGGCGCGAUGGUGCA